AGCUUUCCUGACGACUGUCGCCUCUGCCGGGAUGAUUGCAGGAUUUGGCUCAACGUUAGCCUUGGCCAAGAAAAAUAGUCCGGGAUAGUUCAGCAAGGAUCAGAUGGUGACAGGUGUCCCAGCAGGGUCAGACAGCCAUGGAAGUACAGUCUACAGAGCUCUGGAUCAGAUGGUGACAGGGGUCUCAGCCAACCAGGGAAGACCAGUGUGUGACGGCACUGAGGUGAACUUUUGCAGAUGCAACACUUUAUUCUUUCUUUGCAACAAACACUGGACAAGCCAGAAGCUUCAAAGAUUGAAACUAUUUUAAGGCAGUCUGACA